rnacentral:rRNA from 1 species
AGAGUUUGAUCCUGGCUCAGACUGAACGCUGGCGGCAUGGCUAAAGCAUGCAAGUCGAACGAGCCCGCAAGGGCAAGUGGCGGACGGGUUAGUAAUACGAUCGAACGUACCCCGAAGUGGGGGAUAGCGGCGGGAAACUGCCGGUAAUACCCCAUGUGCUCUUCGGAGGAAAGAUUUAUCGCUUUGGGAUCGGCGAUCGUCCUAUCAGCUAGUUGGCGGGGUAAAGGCCCACCAAGGCGAAGACGGGUAGCAGGUGUGAGAGCACGACCUGCAACAUCGGAACUGAGAUACUGUCCGGACUCCUACGGGAGGCUGCAGCAACGAAUCUUCCGCAAUGGGCGCAAGCCUGACGGAGCAAUGCCGCGUGUGGGAUGAAGUGCCUCCGGCAUGUAAACCACUGUCAGAAGAUAGAAACACUGAUCAUCUUCAAAGGAAGUGGCGACUAACUCUGUGCCAGCAGUCGCGGUAAUACAGAGGCCACGAGCGUUAGUCGGAAUUACUGGGCUUAAAGGGUGCGUAGGCGGUUAUUCAAGCGUCCUGUGAAAGCCUCCCGCUCAACGGGAGAACAGCAGGGCGAACUGGGUGACUCGAGGUUGGUAGGGGCUCACAGAACAGUCGGUGGACCGGUGAAAUGGGUAGAGAUCGACUGGAAUGCCGAUGGCGAAGGCGGUGAGCUGGGCCAAAUCUGACGCUGAGGCACGAAAGCGUGGGGAGCAAACAGGAUUAGAUACCCUGGUAGUCC